rnacentral:tRNA from 4 species
UACAUACUAGCCCAAUGGAAAAGGCGCUUGAUUUAGGCUCAAGAAAAUGCGGGUUCGAUUCCCGUGUAUGACCCA